AGAUCUACAUUGGAGAUUCUAAAUCUAAAACCUAGAUCAAGAUCUAGAAGUAGAAUUUAGAUUCUAGUCCAGAUCUAUAUAGUCAAUGCCUGAAGUCUCAAAGCUAGUGCUGCCAAGCUUGCUAGGGUUGAUGCACAUCACUUGGGACUGCACAGAUGCACUAGAUGCACCUACAGUACCUGCAUCUCAGUGCACAUGCAUCGGUUGCAGCUACACUACUUCCACCAACCAUCGCAAAGAAAAUUUAGUGCUUCUGCAGUCUAAUCGCCGUAAUGCACUGAGUGGAUAGAUUGGAAGUCUUACGCAGCAGCUGAAAAAAUCUCCAGACCUACUUCAAGAAGGCAGUUUCAAGUAAGACUGGCAGUACAGGGAACUGAGGUGGAAAGUUGGAGCUCCUUCUAAUCAUGUCCCUUUGACAGAUGAAAGGACACACACCAGGAUUGACAGACAGGGAAAACCUCCUGGUGCUUCUGGCAAAUGUGUCAUGGUACAUAAUUCAACACCGCUAUCUCACAAAGGUUCAUCAUUCAUCUUAGAACAUGUUGCCAAAGCUGUCCAAAAUGUUUAUUAGCAACUGACGACAAAUGCCAUAUUGAGCAGUUGCAUGAUAGAUUCAACCCAAAUGAAAGUCUUUCUGCAUGCAUCUAGGCAUAUGGCCCCAAUCAUGGGAUUACAUGACAGUUAGUAAUACUGAAAGAUGGCUGUUAUUUCACCCAUAGCCCAACAGAAACUAGUUCAGGCUGAAGGCAGAUCAUCAUAUUUUUCUUCGGCUUUCUAAAUAGAGAAUGAUUAGGCCUACUGUAACUAUUUUGUUUUUGUAAUGUUAGUAAUAUGCAAAUGUUUUCAGAGUUGUAUACUGUACCUCUAUGUAGCUAUUUUGUAAGCUAAUUCAAUUUUUUUGUAAAUUUUACUUGACCUGUUUUGAAGUUUUUUGUUCAGGGGUACAUUUAUAAAACCUGAUUUACAAGAAUAAUUACUCCUUAAUUUCAGAAACCAAAUGAUAAUAGUAACUUCUGUACAUACUAAAACUAUUUAAUAAGCUUUUACUAGGAUAUUAUUUGAUUUAAAAGCUUUUAUUAAUUUUUAAAAUAUUUUUGAUAACUCUUAUUUACAAUUUAUUUUUAGGGGGUGCACCUCAUUAAACCUAAUUACCAAGACUAAUUAUUGCUUGAUUUGAUUGAAACUUUGAUUAUAGUAUCUUGUAUACAUUGCUUAAACUAUAUGAUAAGCUUUUGAUAAGAUAUAAAGAGUGUUUAACAGUUUUUUUUCAUUUUCAAACACGUUUUCCCCUUUUUCUCACAAUUUUGUUUUUUUACCAGUUUUAAAACUUCAAAAUUAUGAUCUCAAAUACUGUCUAUUAGAUUUCAAUGAAAUUUGUACAGUAGAAACACAACAUAAUUACUGUUAGAGUAAUAGAGACUUUUUUAGGUUAUCUUGAGUAGUUUUGUUUUUAGAGAAUUUCAAAGUUGAUUUCAUGGUUAAUAUUUUAAUCUAAAAACAAAAAAUUUGUAACUUCAACAUUUUGUCAUAUAUUCAAAAAGUCUCUCUAUUCUCCUGUUAGGAAUCCUCUCCUUUAUUUAAAUUAGAAGUUUUAAGUCAAUACAUUAAAUGGUUAUUGAGUUAAACAGAUUGAAGCAUGAUAUGUCUAAAUCAUUUAUUUCUGUAUUUUUUAAUCGGCUAACGCUGAAGACACAUUCACAUUGGUCUAAAAGUAUAUAAAAUAUCUUUAUAAUUGCAAUACAUGUGU